UACGGAGGAUGCAAGCGUUAUCCGGAAUGAUUGGGCGUAAAGCGUCCGCAGGUGGCUGUGUAAGUCUGCUGUUAAAGAGUGAGGCUCAACCUCAUAAAAGCAGUGGAAACUACACAGCUAGAGUGCGUUCGGGGCAGAGGGAAUUCCUGGUGUAGCGGUGAAAUGCGUAGAGAUCAGGAAGAACACCGGUGGCGAAGGCGCUCUGCUAGGCCACAACUGACACUGAGGGACGAAAGCUAGGGGAGCGAAUGGG
rnacentral:rRNA from 1 species